GCCACGGAGCUGGACUACGCCAUUUACCUGGCCAAGAAGAACAUCCGCAAGCAGGGCGACCUGAUCGAGCACGAGAAGGACAACUACAACCUCCUGCACAAGCGGAUCAACCACACGUGGGACUUCGUGGUGAUGCAGGCGCGGGAGCAGCUGCGGGCGGCCAAGCAGCGGCGGAAGGGCGACCGCAUCGUCAUCGACUGCCAGGAGCAGGCGUUCUGGCUCGUCAACCGGCCCCCGCCGGGAGCCCCCAAUGUGCUGGAGCAGGGCCCCGAGCGCAGGAACUGCCACACCACCCGUGUCCAGCUGGUGAGUGGAG